CCUACGGGAGGCAGCAGUGGGGGAUAUUGCACAAUGGGGGGAACCCUGAUGCAGCGACGCCGCGUGGGUGAAGAAGCGCCUCGGCGCGUAAAGCCCUGUCAGCAGGGAAGAAAAUGACGGUAUCUGACGAAGAAGCCCCGGCUAACUACGUGCCAGCAGCCGCGGUAAUACGUAGGGGGCAAGCGUUAUCCGGAUUUACUGGGUGUAAAGGGGGCGCAGGCGGCGAUGCAAGCCAGGAGUGAAAGCCCGGGGCCCAACCCCGGGACUGCCCUUGGAACUGCGUGGCUGGAGUGCAGGAGGGGCAGGCGGAAUUCCUGGUGUAGCGGUGAAAUGCGUAGAUAUCAGGAGGAACACCGGUGGCGAAGGCGGCCUGCUGGACUGCAACUGACGUUGAGGCCCGAAAGCGUGGGGAGCAAACAGGAUUAGAUAUCCCAGUAGUC
rnacentral:rRNA from 1 species